UUCGCCGUGUUGCUUCCGGCGGUCGGCGGAUUAAGGCAGCGGCCUCGCUGGCCCAUGGAACCCGCCAGAGUUCAAAGAUGCCAUGCUCAAUUUUUUGGUAAAGCUACUCGAGUUGCCAACAAUGCAUGCAAAGCGGCAACAGUUGGCUGCUCAGUUUUCUUGUACUGCCAAGAUGGAAGGGACCAGGGCCAGGAAUUAAAAAGCAAAGAAAAGCAGGGGCCAGGAGUACAUCUCAACUUUUACUGUAUUUCUUAUUGACAACUAGUGCAGAGCAAGCAAGCAAGCAAUGUACACAGAUCAGUUGUGUUUCAAACUACAGAGCAAGCAAGCGAGGCACUGGAGAUGAACAAAUUAUAGAGCCAUGUACUUCUUCUCACCAGCACCAGCACGAGCAGGGGACAUCUGGCGGCAGCACACGAGAAGGGGACCUCCGGGCGGCGGCAUGAGCAGGGGAGGAGCAGCAAGUUGCGGAGAAGCAGCAGAAGGGGUCCAGUUUGAGGUCCAGGACCGCGAAAGAGCUUGAGGGAGCUUGUGGUCCAGGCGCUCGAGACCCAGGCGGGCGCGGGUCCUGGGCGGCGGCGGCGGCGCGGGCCCUGCAAGGAAGAAGGGGAUAUCGUCGGCGCAGGUCCUGGGUGGCGGAGGAGCACGUACUGUGCGGCGACGGAGCAAGCAGGGCGGCGCAGGUCCUUGGCGGCGGAGGAGCACGUCCUGUGCGGCGACGGAGCGCGGGUCCUGGGCCGCGGAGGAGCACGUCCAGUGCAGCGGCGGAGCAAGCAAUUGGGCGGCGCAGGUCCUGAGCUGCCGACUGGCCCUGGCGACGCGCGCCGGCGAUGGGCGGAGGAAGAAGGAAGGAGACGCGACCUGUAUGGCAACCUGUU